CAGAGGCUCCCUCGCGACAAAUUUCCCGUGUGAAUCCCGCUAGGCCUGGAAGGGAGCAACGGUGACGGUGAAUUUGGGUGCCUGGAUAUAGCUUUUGUAG
rnacentral:SRP_RNA from 1 species